rnacentral:rRNA from 1 species
UAGGACGCACAGUUUAUACCGUAGCUUGCUACACCAUAGACUGUGAGUUGCGAACGGGUGAGUAACGCGUAGGUAACCUGCCUAUUAGAGGGGGAUAACUAUUGGAAACGAUAGCUAAUACCGCAUAACAGUAUGUAACACAUGUUAGAUGCUUGAAAGAUGCAAUUGCAUCGCUAGUAGAUGGACCUGCGUUGUAUUAGCUAGUAGGUAGGGUAAUGGCCUACCUAGGCGACGAUACAUAGCCGACCUGAGAGGGUGAUCGGCCACACUGGGACUGAGACACGGCCCAGACUCCUACGGGAGGCAGCAGUAGGGAAUCUUCGGCAAUGGGGGGAACCCUGACCGAGCAACGCCGCGUGAGUGAAGAAGGUUUUCGGAUCGUAAAGCUCUGUUGUUAAGGAAGAACGAGUGUGAGAAUGGAAAGUUCAUACUGUGACGGUACUUAACCAGAAAGGGACGGCUAACUACGUGCCAGCAGCCGCGGUAAUACGUAGGUCCCGAGCGUUGUCCGGAUUUAUUGGGCGUAAAGCGAGCGCAGGCGGUUAGAAAAGUCUGAAGUGAAAGGCAGUGGCUCAACCAUUGUAGGCUUUGGAAACUGUUUAACUUGAGUGCAGAAGGGGAGAGUGGAAUUCCAUGUGUAGCGGUGAAAUGCGUAGAUAUAUGGAGGAACACCGGUGGCGAAAGCGGCUCUCUGGUCUGUAACUGACGCUGAGGCUCGAAAGCGUGGGGAGCGAACAGGAUU